rfam:Helicobacter sp. MIT 05-5293 CONTIG_335, whole genome shotgun sequence.
GCUAAAUCACUUAUAAUUUGAUUGCCAAAUUAACUUAGGUAAUCUUUAAGAUUCUAAAAAUAUUUAAUCUAAGUUGGAUUUGGUUGAAUUUAAGAGAUUUAAUAUUGAUGGUGAUCACGACUGGACUUGAACCAGCGACCACUACCA